CUAAUUUUCGAAUCGGUCAAUAAAACCUGGCGAUAAUGGUAACAUCGAUUUUACUAAAUCACAAGCUUAAAGCCUGAUUAAAAUAAUGUAAUAACAUCGUGUAUAGUUUAUCAAACAUCGAGUAAACUUAUUUAAACGAGUAAUAAACCGACAGCAAUAAUAAUUAACCGAUAAGUGUUUUAAUAUAUUGAUUUCAUUCAGUCAACACUGUCGCGAAUUUAGACAAAAAAUGUUUGGCAAAUACAACAGCAACGAGAACGUGCUCAACAACAGCAUCUUUACUCUAAGACAAAGGCGACUAUAAUUUGCAUCCUUGAGCAUUCUAGUACGCCGUACUUGUUCAAACUGCUACGUUAUGUACAUCAUUUUCAUGGCCGUCACGACUACGCCAACACAGUAAAACGUUCAAGUCGUUUGCGGUGUUUUAUGUAAAUUCACUUACUAUCGCCACUUCAGAGAAUUUCAGG